GAUGAACGCUGGCGGCGUGCCUAAUACAUGCAAGUCGAGCGAACGGACGAGAAGCUUGCUUCUCUGAUGUUAGCGGCGGACGGGUGAGUAACACGUGGAUAACCUACCUAUAAGACUGGGAUAACUUCGGGAAACCGGAGCUAAUACCGGAUAAUAUUUUGAACCGCAUGGUUCAAAAGUGAAAGACGGUCUUGCUGUCACUUAUAGAUGGAUCCGCGCUGCAUUAGCUAGUUGGUAAGGUAACGGCUUACCAAGGCAACGAUGCAUAGCCGACCUGAGAGGGUGAUCGGCCACACUGGAACUGAGACACGGUCCAGACUCCUACGGGAGGCAGCAGUAGGGAAUCUUCCGCAAUGGGCGAAAGCCUGACGGAGCAACGCCGCGUGAGUGAUGAAGGUCUUCGGAUCGUAAAACUCUGUUAUUAGGGAAGAACAAACGUGUAAGUAACUGUGCACGUCUUGACGGUACCUAAUCAGAAAGCCACGGCUAACUACGUGCCAGCAGCCGCGGUAAUACGUAGGUGGCAAGCGUUAUCCGGAAUUAUUGGGCGUAAAGCGCGCGUAGGCGGUUUUUUAAGUCUGAUGUGAAAGCCCACGGCUCAACCGUGGAGGGUCAUUGGAAACUGGAAAACUUGAGUGCAGAAGAGGAAAGUGGAAUUCCAUGUGUAGCGGUGAAAUGCGCAGAGAUAUGGAGGAACACCAGUGGCGAAGGCGACUUUCUGGUCUGUAACUGACGCUGAUGUGCGAAAGCGUGGGGAUCAAACAGGAUUAGAUACCCUGGCAGUCCACGCCGUAAACGAUGAGUGCUAAGUGUUAGGGGGUUUCCGCCCCUUAGUGCUGUAGCUAACGCAUUAAGCACUCCGCCUGGGGAGUACGACCGCAAGGUUGAAACUCAAAGGAAUUGACGGGGACCCGCACAAGCGGUGGAGCAUGUGGUUUAAUUCGAAGCAACGCGAAGAACCUUACCAAAUCUUGACAUCCUUUGACAACUCUAGAGAUAGAGCCUUCCCCUUCGGGGGACAAAGUGACAGGUGGUGCAUGGUUGUCGUCAGCUCGUGUCGUGAGAUGUUGGGUUAAGUCCCGCAACGAGCGCAACCCUUAAGCUUAGUUGCCAUCAUUAAGUUGGGCACUCUAAGUUGACUGCCGGUGACAAACCGGAGGAAGGUGGGGAUGACGUCAAAUCAUCAUGCCCCUUAUGAUUUGGGCUACACACGUGCUACAAUGGACAAUACAAAGGGCAGCGAAACCGCGAGGUCAAGCAAAUCCCAUAAAGUUGUUCUCAGUUCGGAUUGUAGUCUGCAACUCGACUACAUGAAGCUGGAAUCGCUAGUAAUCGUAGAUCAGCAUGCUACGGUGAAUACGUUCCCGGGUCU
rnacentral:rRNA from 1 species